GAUGAACGCUGGCGGCGUGCCUAAUACAUGCAAGUCGAGCGAACGGACGAGAAGCUUGCUUUUCUGAUGUUAGCGGCGGACGGGUGAGUAACACGUGGAUAACCUACCUAUAAGACUGGGAUAACUUCGGGAAACCGGAGCUAAUACCGGAUAAUAUUUUGAACCGCAUGGUUCAAAAGUGAAAGACGGUCUUGCUGUCACUUAUAGAUGGAUCCGCGCUGCAUUAGCUAGUUGGUAAGGUAACGGCUUACCAAGGCAACGAUGCAUAGCCGACCUGAGAGGGUGAUCGGCCACACUGGAACUGGGACACGGUCCAGACUCCUACGGGAGGCAGCAGUAGGGAAUCUUCCGCAAUGGGCGAAAGCCUGACGGAGCAACGCCGCGUGAGUGAUGAAGGUCUUCGGAUCGUAAAACUCUGUUAUUAGGGAAGAACAUAUGUGUAAGUAACUGUGCACAUCUUGACGGUACCUAAUCAGAAAGCCGCGGCUAACUACGUG
rnacentral:rRNA from 1 species